UACGUAGGGCGCAAGCGUUGUCCGGAAUUAUUGGGCGUAAAGAGCUCGUAGGCGGCUUGUCACGUCGAUUGUGAAAGCCCGAGGCUUAACCUCGGGUCUGCAGUCGAUACGGGCUAACUAGAGUGUGGUAGGGGAGACUGGAAUUCCUGGUGUAGCGGUGGAAUGCGCAGAUAUCAGGAGGAACACCAGUGGCGAAGGCGGCUCACUGGCCCGGUACUGACGCUGAGGCACGAAAGCGUGGGGAGCAAACAGG
rnacentral:rRNA from 1 species